AGAAGCUUUGGGAGCAGAGGGAAGCAGAGCAGGGAAGUCGUCAGUGGCCUUCAGAUAAGAGGACAUUCGACCUUGGCUGUGACCAAGGUCCUCCUCUGGAGGCCCCCAGCGUGCCAGCACAGCCCCAGGGGAGGGCAAGGAAGUCUCCUUGACUGCAGCAGCCCUGCUCAGCCAGGGCUGGACACAGAGCCUCUCGUUAUCUGUUCAUGCCACACGCAGGCAAGGCAUUCUGGGCACACAAGACUUGGCCGGCCUGCAGGAAGCUGGAAGAGCUUCUGUCCCUCUGGGGUCAGAGGUGACUGGAAUUUGGCAGUCAGGGACAUGGGAACUUCCUGUGACCCUCCCAGAGCUGAGACUGGCAGCAGGAACCAGACAGAGCUAGUGGUCAAGAUCUGACAGAAAGAUGAUUUGCAUGACCACUUCCUCCUAAGAGGCAUCGGCAGUGGGCUGAGUGAAGGAGU